UACGGGGGGAGCAAGCGUUGUUCGGAUUUACUGGGCGUAAAGGGCGCGUAGGCGGCGCAACAAGUCACUUGUGAAAUCUCCGGGCUUAACCCGGAGCGGCCAAGUGAUACUGUCGUGCUAGAGUGCGGAAGGGGCUACUGGAAUUCUCGGUGUAGCGGUGAAAUGCGUAGAUAUCAUUUGGAACGCCAAUGGUGAAAACAGGUAGCUGGGGAUGUGCUGACGCUGAGACACGAAAGCCAGGGGAGCGAACGGG
rnacentral:rRNA from 1 species